rnacentral:rRNA from 1 species
ACACGCAUGACACACUGCAUAUCAAUAAGCGGAGGAAAAGAAACUAACAAGGAUUCCCUUAGUAACGGCGAGUGAAGCGGGAAGAGCUCAAAUUUGAAAUCUUAAAGGGUUUCCCUUGACGAAUUGUAGCUUAAAGAAGUGUUUUCUGUUGGAGUUUUCGGUAAAAGUUCUUUGGAAUAGGACAUCAUAGAGGGUGAGAAUCCCGUAUUUGACCGUUACUUUCCAGCUGUGUGAUACACUUUCAAAGAGUCGGAUUGUUUGGGAAUGCAGUCCAAAAUGGGUGGUAAAUUUCAUCUAAAGCUAAAUAUUGGCGAGAGACCGAUAGCGAACAAGUACCGUGAGGGAAAGAUGAAAAGAACUCUGAAAAGAGAGUUAAACAGUACGUGAAAUUGUCAAAAGGGAAGCGUUUGACACCAGUGUUGUUUAGUUGAAAAUCAAUUCAAUAAUUUUUGAUUUUAAGUAGUAUUGACUUCAUCAGCUUGCUGCUUUCUUUUCAGGAAUUAUUGAAUGCACUUUUCAGUUAACAAGUCAACAUCAAUUUCUUUUGUUGUAAAAGGGUAAGAGGAAGGUGGCUUACGCUUCGGCGUAAGUGUUUAUAGCCCUUUACCUCUGCAAUCGGAGAGAUUGAGGACAGCAGCGUAGACUCUUCGGGGUUAGAUACACUUGUGCUAAGCUAUAGCCUUGUAUAGACAACUUGUUGACUAUGCUCAGUCAUGUAGCUUACUCGCUUGUGCUAUUUUACCUACGCUUAGGAUGUUGAUCUACAGAGCGAGAGU